GACGAACGCUGGCGGCGUGCCUAAUACAUGCAAGUAGAACGCUGAAGGAGGAGCUUGCUUCUCUGGAUGAGUUGCGAACGGGUGAGUAACGCGUAGGUAACCUGCCUGGUAGCGGGGGAUAACUAUUGGAAACGAUAGCUAAUACCGCAUAAUAGUAGAUGUUGCAUGACAUUUACUUAAAAGGUGCAAUUGCAUCACUACCAGAUGGACCUGCGUUGUAUUAGCUAGUUGGUGGGGCAAAGGCUCACCAAGGCGACGAUACAUAGCCGAACUGCGAGGGCGGGUGGCCGCCCUGGGAGGGAGACACGGCACAUUGGCACAGGGGAAGCAGCCGUAGGGAAUCGUGGGCAAUGGACGGAAGACUGACCGAACAAGGCCGAGGGAGUGAAGAAGGUUGUCGGGUGGGAAAGCUCUGUUGUAAGGGAAGAACGAGUGUGAGAGUGGAAAGUUCACACUGUGACGGUAUCUUACCAGAAAGCGACGGCUAACUACGUG
rnacentral:rRNA from 1 species